UUCAUAAUUUUACACCACAAGAAAAGAAGAGGUCCCAGCUGAAGACCCUUAAUUCAAAGUCUCUGCUGCAUAUGGAUUUCUGCUACCCAUCAGAACCAGGUCCCAACUGUGUCGAAAACGGACUUGCCAACUUGUAAAAGGGGUUGUGAAGACCCGCCCUUUUUUCUUUUAACCAUCAGACGACUUUCGUUUCAACUCCUCGACGUACAUCGAUAAUCUAGUCCUAUAAAUUCUGGAAUUUAGUAGCUAAACAUCAUCAUCACCAAAGCAUAGCAAAGAAAGUUGUGUGUAAUAAUGGAGAGCCACUACAACCUCAGUGUUGCUCACUAUUUCCUUCUUUUUCUUUUGGCGUCUUCCUACAUACAGACUACUACUAAACUCUGUUUCUGUUUGGCCAGUGGUGAACUUUCAAGCAGUGUGGAAACAAAUUCAUGCAUCGACGAAGAAAGACUGGCGCUUCUCAUCUUUAAACAACAUCUUGUUGAUCGUUCUAGCAGGCUUUCCUCUUGGGUGGGUCACGAUUGCUGUCGAUGGGAAGGGAUUUCAUGCAACAACCGCACCGGUCAUGUCGUGAAGAUGGACCUCCGAAAUCCAUAUUCGAAUUCCAUUUUUGAUGAAGAGAUGGACUGGUCGACUUACGACAAGUUUAGCUUGGGAGGUAAGAUAAAUGCUUCUCUGUUGAGCUUGAAACACUUAAAUUACCUGGACCUAAGCAGUAAUCAUUUUUAUAGCAUGCAAGUUCCUAAGUUCUUCGGGGAGCUUAAAAGUUUACAAUAUCUCAAUCUCUCCUCUCCCCACUCUGCGUCAUUUGGAGGAGAGAUUCCCCCUUCUCUUGGUAACCUGUCGAGCCUCAAUUUUCUUGACCUUGGGUGCAAUUAUAACUUAACUUCCAGAAAUUUGAAUUGGCUGUCUCGCCUCUCUUCUCUAAAAUACCUUGAUCUCGGAGAAAUGGAUCUUAGCACCACAGGAGUCAAUUGGGCCUAUGCUGUUAAUAUGCUUCCUUCAUUAGCCGAGUUACACUUAUCUUUUUGCUUUAUUGAAAGCAUUUCACUCUCACUGCGGAGCAUUAACUCGACGUCACUUUUUAAUCUUACCAACCUCAUAACACUUGAUCUAUCCUUUAAUGAUUUCGGUGAUCCUUUCCCAAGUGAAUUUGCAAACUUCAAAUCUCUGGAACACCUUGAUUUAUCUGAUACACACUUAAAAGGUCAAAUUCCUAAAGUCAUUGGAAAUUUGUGCAAGCUAAAGGUCUUAAGUCUUUCUUGGAACAAAUUUAAUGGGGGGAUUGAAGAGGUUUGGAGAAGUUUCUCAAAUUGUUCAAAUAUUGCAUUAGAGUCACUAGAUUUGUCUUAUUGUGACCUGAGAAGCCAACUGCCGGCCUCCUUAGGAAUGUUUAAAAGUUUGCAGAAUCUCUACCUUCGUGGGGACGAUAUGCAGGAUAUGCGGUAUAUGCAGGGCUCAAUUCCAGAUUUCCCCGGAAACUAUUUGUGGGGCUCAAUUCCAGAUUCCAUUGGAAACUUGUCAUUCUUGAAAACUUUAGACCUCUCUUAUAAUAUGAUGAACGGCUCCAUUCCACAAAGUCUGGGACAACUCUCUCAGCUAGUUUCCCUUGAUCUGUCUUCUAAUCCUUGGGAGGGCAAUCUAACGGAAGCCCAUUUCAUAAAUCUUACCCGGUUACAAUAUUUUAGAGUAGGAGACAUGUACCAAAACAAGUCCCUCAUUUUCGACGUGGCUUAUGAUUGGGUUCCUCCAUUCAAGCUCCACACAAUUUAUAUCGUAAAAUGUCAUAUAACUUCUGGUUUUGGGGUAUGGCUUCAAUCUCAAACUGAACUGAGAGAAAUCAAUCUUAGUGGUAAUGGAAUCUCGGAUUUCUUACCAGAAGAAUGGCUAUUGAAGAUAUCUUCCCAACUCAUUUACUAGACUUGUCUUACAACCAAUUUUGUGGAAACCUUCCAUCCAAUUUGAAAUCUCCAAAAUUGGAGUCGAUUGAUUUGAGUCAUAAUCAGUUGGAGGGUCCACUCCCACUUUGGUCUGCCACUAAGGUCACUAACUUUUAUCUUGAAAGCAAUUCCUUUUCCGGGCCAAUUCCCUCCAAUAUUGACCAGAUGAUGCCCAAUUUGCAAGAAUUGUAUCUUUCUGAGAAUCAUUUGAAUGGCAAUAUUCCUCGCUCUAUCUGUAACAUGCAGCAGUUGUUAGCAUUGUUUCUUCAUGAGAAUCAUUUGAAUGGAACUAUUCCUCCUUCUGUUUACAACAUGAAGCAGUUGCAAAUCUUGUCUCUAAGGAGCAAUCAAUUUCAUGGAGAAUUCCAUCUUGCAUGGAGUGUGGGGAGCAAUAUGACGUAUCUAGAUGUUAGUCAAAACAAUCUCUCGGGUAAUAUUCCCACAUCAUUGGGGGUAUUAAGUUCACUACAAGUAUUAAAGCUCAACAACAACAAUUUUGACGGUGAAAUUCCUAGUUCCCUGCAAAAUUGUUCUCAAUUGAAGAGUAUUGAUCUUGGAGACAACAAGUUAUUUGGCAAAAUACCAAAGUGGAUAGGAGGAUUAAAUGUAUCCAUGUUGUAUAUGGUACGAUUACGGUCCAACAAUUUUAAUGGACAUAUAUCCCAGCAACUGUGCAAUCUUCGACAACUUCAUAUCAUCGACCUUAGUAACAACAGCAUUUCAGGUACUAUUCCCAAGUGUUUGGGUAAUUUGGCUUCGCUGGUCAAUGAUUCACAUACAUCAUCUGAUAGUCUUUAUACUUCUGGUGAGCAAGCCACACUGACACUAAAAGGAAUGGAACUUGUGUACAAUAAUACUCUAUAUCUUGUAAAGAGCAUUGAUCUUUCAUCAAAUACUUUACAAGGUGAAAUUCCUGAAGAAAUAAGUAGCCUCAUUCUAUUGGGUACCUUGAACUUGUCUAGGAAUCAAUUGACUGGAAAGAUCCCUUCCAAGAUCGGAAACUUGCAUUGGCUUGAAACACUUGAUCUCUCACACAACCACCUUUCAGGACAGAUUCCUCAAAGCUUGUCAUCUUUAACCUCACUAUCUCACUUGAACUUGUCUUACAACAACUUGUCUGGAAGAAUUCCUUCAGGAAACCAGCUUCAAACGCUCAAUGAUUCGUCCAUUUAUAUGGAAAACCCAUCGCUAUGCGGCGUUCCUCUCUCAACUAAGUGCCCUGGAGAUGACACUUCCCCAUCUAAGGAUACAAAAGACAUGAAUGAAGGUGGAAAUGAUGAGUUGUGGUUCUAUGUCAGCAUGGUACUUGGUUUUAUUGUAGGCUUUUGGGGGGUUUGCGGCUCAUUGAUCUUAAAGACAUCAUGGAGGUAUGCAUAUUUUCAAUUCUUCGACAACAUCAAAGACAAGGUAGCACUAGCAAUUGCAUUGAAAGUGGCUCGUUUCCAAAGAAUGUUUUCUUAUGUUUGAUAGUACUAUGUAUAUUUGUGGUUUCCCUUGUAUUUGGUUUAUGGGACUUGCAACUUAUGUAUUGAAUAAAAAUAAAAAAAAUGUUCCCACAAACAAUUAUGUAUUAACUUGGAAUUAAUUAAAAUUUCUAGUUUGUACUUAUCAAUUGCAUAAACCAAAAAAAUUAGGAAAGGGGUAGUAACGUACAAUCGUGUUUAUUUCAUAAAACGAAAAUAAAGACAGCCGAUUUAACAAGACGACUCAGACCUCUGCAACGGUCGACUGUUCUUAUUCCGCUCCAUCUCCGAAGAUCAGAAUCCGAGAAUAGCAAGAGAUAUCUCCAAAAUGACGUCGUUUAAGAAAUUGGAUCAUCGGCAGAGCACUAUGACACUUGUAGAGAGAAGCAAAAUGUUGGCUGCUAAGCCAAAAUUCGGCAUAGGACAGAAUCGGGUGUGGAACCGCAAUUCUUGGUUCUUCUGCUGGUUUUAAGUUCUUGUGGAGGUGAUUUAUUAACUUCUGACAUUGUUUUUCGAUAUUUUAAACAGUUGGUGUCUCAUGUUUUAAGGUUUAUACAGAAAGUGACACUGCCAAAGCUGAUACCGGGAUCAGGUAAUUGUAGUUUCAAAUUUGUGCAAUUUCGUUUCGAUUAUCGAAUGUUAUGGUUUUAAUCAAUGUGUAAGUUGUUUUAGAACUAAAAUCAACUAAGCCUUCCUUCCAGAAUUUAAAUCUUGGGAUUUUUAUUUGUAUGCAAACUGUGUUAACAAUUCAAAUAGAAUGGGAGCAUUGUACAAUGAUGUAGCUAAAUAGAGGCAAAAAAAUAUUAGAUAUUAGCUGUAUCUGCCCACUUCCUGCAAGGUCUUGGCAAUUAACUAGAUUUUUCCGGGGAAUUAUAUCUGUGUGCUGCUUUUAAUUUCCGGAGUGGUGCAACAGUUAACAAAGUAUCGGCUGUGGAGAAUACAGCUUCUUUAAAGGUAACUAACGACCUCCUUAUUCUGCUGCUUGUUUUGAGGUGGAUUAGGAUGGAGUGUUAUUUUCCUUCCUGGUAAGAAUGUUAAAUCCUAGCAUGCUUUUUCCUUGUAACUCUCUUAUUUACAUGAUUGCGUAGUACGUUGUUCUACUGACUUCAGUAGAUAUCUCUCUGUAAUCUGAAAAUGAACAAAAGAGCCCUCAUAUGAGUGGUUCAAAGAUCUUAUAGUUACUUACAGCCUUUAAGCAGGGUACUUCAAGUUAGUUUUCAUAUAGUGCUACCCCCAAACUGGACAAAAGCUGCAAAACUUAAAAAGUUUUCUUCCUGUCCAUGUUUUGCUUUUUGAAGGUCAACUAAGUUUUUGUUUUCCACUGUUCCGUUGUAUGUUUGACAACGCAGAGACAGGGUUUUGUCUUUCUUGACAAGCUUAGCGAGUAUCAACGCCAAUCAUUUCACAUAUUGUUGUUCUUCCAAUUGUAAGAAUUGUUUUUUGUCUCACUUCAAUCAGGGAAAAGGGCGGGAAAGCUUUAAUACUUCAGAAAUGCUGGGAUAGUUUCCCGGAUGCAAUUGUACCAUUUGAAAUUUUUUUUAUUACGGAUAAACUGUAGCUAUUAAAGAGUUGAAGGCACCUUCAGAGAAUCAAAGGACCAAGGCUAUGGGUCUAAACCGCGAAUCUAUUGUUACAGAUGGCAGGAGGACUUCAAAUUCUUCACUUAAGCUGAUAAGGAAAUCAUUGUCGGUGCUAAAGGUCCCAGAGGAAGCAAGUAUUCCGAAGGAAAAUGCUGGUAGAAAUUCUGAAAGAAAAAGAGGGUAUUAUGGUAAGAUGCCUUGAAUAUUUAAGAUUUGACAAGUGGGUGGCACAUGAUGUCUGACCAAAUGGCAUUUUGGAAUACAAUUAAGGCUACGGUUGGCAAGAAAGUAGUAUCUAGAGUAAUGAUACCACGAGGAGCCAUCUGUUGAGGAAUCGAGUGAGUGAUAUCUUUGUGAUUAUGGGUCAGCGUAAUUCAAAUGUCUGUGUAUUGCCAAGAAAUUCUGUCAGGCCAACAUUGUCCACACUGAAGGCUCGUGAGUCGCAAAGGACUUUGAAAUCCAAGGGUGCAUCAGGUCCAAACAAAUUAGUUUCUGCUACUGCAACUUCAUCCAAAACUGAAAAAGUGGCUACUUCUUCUCUUCCUGAGAACGUUAAGCAUGAAAAGCAUGAAGCCACUCAGGGAGAGCUCCCAUCUGAAGCCAGCUGCAGCCAGAGUGCUUCAACUAUCAUUUCCAGAAGAAAAUCAAAUAGGAGGAGAUCUUACACAUCUCUAUUGAUGACUGGAUCAAAGUUACUAGAGGGCCAUGUUGAAGCUUUGAAGGUGGAAUAGCUGCCAAGUAUUGAUGACGACUGCAAUCAACCGGAAGUUUCCGAUUAUGUUGAUGAGAUCUAUCAGUAUUACUUCUGAGGCACAGAAUCAACCUCCAGAAAAUUUCAUGUCGAUUCAGGCAGACAUUGCUCCUCAUAUGCGAGGCAUAUUGGUCAACUGGUUAAUUGAAGUACACUACAAAUUCGAGUUAAUGCAAGAAACUCUUUAUCUCAUGGUGACAUUGCUUGAUCAAUAUCUUUCCCAAGUCACAAUUAAGAAGGAUGACAUGCAGUUAAUUGGUCUCACUGCACUCUUGUUGGCAUCAAAGUAUGAGGACUUUUGGCAUCCAAGGGUCAAAGAUAGCAUCUCAGCUGAGACAUACGAGAGCACAGGUGCUUGGAAUGCUUGAACACUUGGCAUUCUACCUUAUCGAGUUGUGCUUAGUUGAAUAUGAACCGUUAAGGUUCAAGCCCUCGUUGCUGUGCGCAGCAGCAGCCCUAUAUGUUGCAAGGUGCACCCUGCAGAUUACUCCGGCUUGGACUCCGCUGCUCUGCAAACACACUCGUUAUGAAGUAUCCCAAAUCAGAGACUGCAGAUGGUCUUAAUAUUUCACAAAGCUGCAAGAGUGGGAAGUUUGAAGGUCACAUAUGAAAAGUACUCUAGCCUUGAUCUCAGAGGUGUUGCAGCGAUAAAACCAUUGGAGACGCUUCCACUUCGAUUCAGCUCAGGGCUGGUUUGGUAUUGCUGUGCUUUGAAAAAAAGCUGCUGUGAGAAUAAGUGGCUGUGCUGUGAGAAUAAGCGGCUGUGAAAUAAAGCCAGUAGAGUGUUUGGUAAACUUUUUUGUAAAAGUGCUUUUGGAAAAAAAAGCAGGAUGAUAGUGUGUCUUUUCAUUAAAGGAGCACUGUAGCUCCGUGUGCUUUGAAAAAACUGGCUUUUUUUCAAAGCAGCAAAUAGCAGCUUCAGCUUUUCCUUUGAUUUUCAGCUUAUUCUCACAGCAGCUUCCAAAAUAAGCCCUUUUUUUUCAGUUUACCAAACACAAAAAUGACCCUCAGCUUUUUUUCACAGUGGCUUUUUUUAAAAUCACCUCAAUCCCAAACGGGGCCUCAGACUGGUGAAGAUAAGAAUGUUAACAACUCAAGAGAUAAAGACUCCAGCAUCAUCUGGUAGACAUGUUUUCCCCCGCAGUUGUUGAAGCCUGUGUAGCAGGACAAAAUUCUGCUUGUAUUUCAUAUUGAUCUAACACGAUGAAGGGCAUCGAUCAAGCUUGUCGUAAAGAAGCCAUAUUUCGUGGCGCUUCUACUGAUGGCGUCUGUCUACUCUAGGGUUUUCAAGAUUGUAAAAUCUUUUGUUCAUUUGGUACCGCAAUUCACAUCAGUCUGUUGUGUUGCACGCGUUUAUGUUAUGAUCUCUCUCACAGAAGUGUAACAACAUGAUGUUGUUGCUAAGAAAUUAUGACCUACUAUUGCUGUGUGAAUCUAGUUUCUUGUUAAUGGUACAUAUUGCAUUGAUUAA